CUUCUGCCUAAUCCUGGGUCAUGAGGGAAGCCCCGUGCUGCUAGGUGAAGGUUCCUCUGUCCCCUGCUCUUGGCUUUUGUCACCAUAGACAAAGCUUACCUGUCCCCCUAGAGUGUGAGAAAUGGUAAUCCUCAGGCCUUGGGGACACUGUGGCUGUGGCCCAGUGGCCUGAGGGAUCAUCUGGACAUCAUAGCUCGGAGCACUGAGAUCCCAGAGUUCCUGAGGAACAGACAGACAGACAAGAUCUUAAUCCAGCCUAACUGUCCGCUAGCUAACCGUGGGGCAACUUCCAGAGCUGUCUGGCUGUUUUUUCUCUACCAUAAAAUGGGCUGACGGCGUACAGCUGGGUUUCCCUGGAAGCAAGUUGCAAGAGGUCAGGCACAGCUCUGCUGAGCUCCUGGAGUCCGGUGGUGUCAGCCUCCAUUAUCCAGGGGAGUGGGUUGCAGAAGGGCACUGUCAUUUACCUCAAGCCUCAAGGGCUCCAGCCUCGGUUUCUAGACUCUUGCGCUGGGCAGCUGCAGGUGGUGGGUCACCUUGGAGAGGGCAGUUUCUUGCCACGCCACAGCCUGCCUCCUUCUCCCACACUGUGCUCCUGACACGGAUAUUCAAGGGGCUUUCAGGGCAGGAAAUGUGAUAGGGCAG
rnacentral:lncRNA from 1 species